GAGAGAAUUUGUGGGAUGAGUUGCUAUUCGGAAGAUGCUUCUAUGAAAGGUCAUGCAUCCCAGGUGCGGCCUCACCGGGGCCCAGGCUGAUAGGUAUCAGCUGCCUGCAUGCACAAACUCCUCCCUCCUUCUCCAGCCCUUCCCAGUUCCUCCUCUCAGCUCCUAGGGAGCGGUGGGUCCCAGACUCACCUUCCUUCCAGGUUCCUGAUCCACAGCUCAGCCUCAAUUGCAGUGCUCAAGAGCCCCCUGUGCACUUCUUAGGUGCACUUCCUUUUCACCCAGGGGCCAGUCACCUGCUUCUGCCUCUCCAAACCUUCAAGUCCCUGGAGGUCCAUCUCACCUGUCACCUCCUGUGAUGCCCUCUGGACCCUCUCAUCAGAAACCAGGCCUCUGGACACCCACGGCACCUUGCCUGCUCCUCCGUGUGGACGCCUUUUCUUCCACUUGGCUGACUCCUUGGAAGCCAGUCAAUCAUUUGGGGCUAAAUAAAAUAACUAGAUACAGCGUCAUCAUCCUUCUGGGGGCCUGAGUCCAGAACCUGGGAAUUGUUCUUGACUCCACCUGUCCUCCCUGCUACACAGUCCUGUGUGUCACUUCUGCUGGAUGUCUCUGCAGCUGUGGGGUAAACGAGUCCAUGGAUGGCCACUGGGGUAAGUGCACUAAUUGGAGUGUUCAAAUCUCUAUCCUUGCAUACUUUUUUCCUAUCAGUUAUUGAACGAGGUGUGUCAAAGUCUUCCACUGUGGUUGUGAAUUUGUCUCUUUCUCCAUGUAAUUCAUCAGUUUUUGUUUUUUAUAUUUUGAGGCGAUAUUAUUGAGUACAUUCAAAUUUAGAAUUGUUUUAUUUGCCUAGUAAAUUGAGUCUUUUAUCAGAACAAAGGGUUCCUCUUUAUCUCUACAAAUUCUUUUUGCC
rnacentral:lncRNA from 10 species